GACGCUCUGACUACGAAACGUUGGUAGGUGGUCAGGCUUUAUUAUGGCCGUCAAAACACCUAUUUGCAGCUUUUUGAUGUCCUCUCGAUCAGGGUCCAUGAAGAUAGGCUUGUAAUUCUGGAGUUACUUUAAUCACGUUCCAGGGACUGGGUAUUUCACUUUAAUCACGUUCCAGGGACUGGGUAUUUCGCUUUAACCGGAUCUUACAAGGAUUCUCAGGAUCAGGUUUAGUUUGCCAAGAUUCUGCUGCUGGUUAAACCAUAGAGUGAUGAAUCCAGGGAGUCCCU